rnacentral:tRNA from 1 species
GUUUAUAUAAUUUAUAAAGAAUAUUGUGUUGAAGUUACAAAAGAGAUAUAAUGUCUAUAGACA